rnacentral:lncRNA from 1 species
AGCCUUGGCCGGAGAGGCGGUAGAGUAGGAUGGAACAUCUGAACUAUUUCCGUAUUUGGGGAAAUUGAAGCUGAAGUGGUAUUUGGAGUCUCACUCUUCCCACUCCCUGAAAAUACUGGCAUUGGGAACCCAACAGUAGUAGUGGGAAGCAGGCAGCAGAGGAAACGUGACCAACAGAGAUUCCCUAACUAGAGUGCUGAUGGGGCCGGACUUUGGCUGUAGUUCCUGCUGCAUGGCCUC